GACAGAGGGGGCAAGCGUUGCUCGGAAUUACUGGGCGUAAAGGGCGCGUAGGCGGGAUGGCAAGUCGGUCGUGAAACCCCUCGGCUCAACCGAGGAACGUCGAUCGAUACUGCUGUUCUUGAGGAUUGCAGAGGAGACUGGAAUUCCCGGUGUAGCGGUGAAAUGUGUAGAGAUCGGGAGGAACACCGGUGGCGAAGGCGGGUCUCUGGGCAAUUCCUGACGCUGAGGCGCGAAAGCGUGGGGAGCAAACGGG
rnacentral:rRNA from 1 species